GAUGAACGCUGGCGGCGUGCCUAAUACAUGCAAGUCGAGCGAAUGGAUUAAGAGCUUGCUCUUAUGAAGUUAGCGGCGGACGGGUGAGUAACACGUGGGUAACCUGCCCAUAAGACUGGGAUAACUCCGGGAAACCGGGGCUAAUACCGGAUAACAUUUUGAACCGCAUGGUUCGAAAUUGAAAGGCCGCUUCGGCUGUCACCUAUGGAUGGACCCGAGACGCAUUAGCUAGUUGGUGAGGUAACGGCGCACCAAGGCAACGAUGCGUAGCCGACCUGAGAGGGUGAUCGGCCACACUGGGACUGAGACACGGCCCAGACUCCUACGGGAGGCAGCAGUAGGGAAUCUUCCGCAAUGGACGAAAGUCUGACGGAGCAACGCCGCGUGAGUGAUGAAGGCUUUCGGGUCGUAAAACUCUGUUGUUAGGGAAGAACAAGUGCUAGUUGAAUAAGCUGGCACCUUGACGGUACCUAACCAGAAAGCCACGGCUAACUGCGUGCCAGCCGCCGCAGUAA
rnacentral:rRNA from 1 species